rnacentral:rRNA from 1 species
UACGGAGGGGGCUAGCGUUGUUCGGAAUUACUGGGCGUAAAGCGCACGUAGGCGGCUUUUUAAGUCAGAGGUGAAAGCCCGGGGCUCAACCCCGGAAUUGCCUUUGAGACUGGAUCGCUUGAACGUCGGAGAGGUGAGUGGAAUUCCGAGUGUAGAGGUGAAAAUUCGUAGAUAUUCGGAAGAACACCAGUGGCGAAGGCGGGCUCACUGGACGACUGUUGACGCUGAGGUGCGAAAGCGUGGGGAGCGAACAGG